UGGGGAAUUUUGGACAAUGGGCGAAAGCCUGAUCCAGCAAUGCCGCGUGUGUGAAGAAGGCCUUCGGGUUGUAAAGCACUUUUGUCCGGAAAGAAAUGGCUCUGGUUAAUACCUGGGGUCGAUGACGGUACCGGAAGAAUAAGGACCGGCUAACUACGUGCCAGCAGCCGCGGUAAUACGUAGGGUCCAAGCGUUAAUCGGAAUUACUGGGCGUAAAGCGUGCGCAGGCGGUUGUGCAAGACCGAUGUGAAAUCCCCGAGCUUAACUUGGGAAUUGCAUUGGUGACUGCACGGCUAGAGUGUGUCAGAGGGGGGUAGAAUUCCACGUGUAACAGUGAAAUGCGUAGAGAUGUGGAGGAAUACCGAUGGCGAAGGCAGCCCCCUGGGAUAACACUGAAGCUCAUGCACGAAAGCGUGGGGAGCAAACAGG
rnacentral:rRNA from 1 species